AACGAACGCUGGCGGCAGGCCUAACACAUGCAAGUCGAACGCUGUAGCAAUACAGAGUGGCAGACGGGUGAGUAACGCGUGGGAACAUACCCUUCGGUUCGGAAUAACUCAGGGAAACUUGAGCUAAUACCGGAUACGUGCGAGAGCAGAAAGAUUCAUCGCCGAAGGAUUGGCCCGCGUUCGAUUAGCUUGUUGGUGAGGUAAUGGCUCACCAAGGCGACGAUCGAUAGCUGGUCUGAGAGGAUGAUCAGCCACAUUGGGACUGAGACACGGCCCAAACUCCUACGGGAGGCAGCAGUGGGGAAUAUUGGACAAUGGGCGAAAGCCUGAUCCAGCCAUGCCGCGUGAGUGAUGAAGGCCCUAGGGUUGUAAAGCUCUUUCGUCAGGGACGAUAAUGACGGUACCUGAAGAAGAGCCCCGGCUAACUUCGUGCCAGCCGCCGCGGUAAC
rnacentral:rRNA from 1 species